AGCCGGCUCGCUGCCUCCGUGAGCUCUCCGCAAGUAUUACCGGGACUCUGCGAUGAAGCCUUGACCUUUUCCAUGUGAAGGCAACGGCCGAGGAGUCGCGGUAUGUGCCGCAACGAUAGCGUCAGCCUGGGAGCGCAGCCGAAGCGUGCGGCCCCAAGGAGCCCGGCCCUCUUAGGAGAUGCCAACUAAGAGACAACGGCCUGGUAACGGCUGGAACUUCCCAGAUGGCGAGGUGGCCUUCUUUCACACCUGAUGCAGAUUUGCAUCCCCGGACAGCCGAGAGACGCAGAUCGAUUAUAUCUGUGGCGGAGCGCUCCAUACCAGGUGGUAAAGCCGGAUCUUAGCAGUCAGUGUCGAGUGAGCGAGGCGGUCCACUUGCAUUACGCCGAACCCCCUCGCAGAACGGCCGACGGACCCGGCUCGCCGCCCUCGUGACCCCUCCGCAAGUAUCGCAAAGCUCUGCGAUG